UACGAGGGGAGCAAGCGUUGUUCGGAUUUACUGGGCGUAAAGGGCGCGUAGGCGGCGUGACAAGUCACUUGUGAAAUCUCCGGGCUUAACUCGGAACGGUCAAGUGAUACUGUCGUGCUAGAGUACAGAAGGGGCAACUGGAAUUCUCGGUGUAGCGGUGAAAUGCGUAGAUAUCGAGAGGAACACCUGCGGCGAAGGCGGGUUGCUGGGCUGAUACUGACGCUGAGGAGCGAAAGCGUGGGGAGCGAACAGG
rnacentral:rRNA from 1 species